rnacentral:rRNA from 1 species
GAUGAACGCUGGCGGCGUGCCUAAUACAUGCAAGUCGAGCGAACGGACGAGAAGCUUGCUUCUCUGAUGUUAGCGGCGGACGGGUGAGUAACACGUGGAUAACCUACCUAUAAGACUGGGAUAACUUCGGGAAACCGGAGCUAAUACCGGAUAAUAUUUUGAACCGCAUGGUUCAAAAGUGAAAGACGGUCUUGCUGUCACUUAUAGAUGGAUCGGCGCUGCAUUAGCUAGUUGGUAAGGUAACGGCUUACCAAGGCAACGAUGCAUAGCCGACCUGAGAGGGUGAUCGGCCACACUGGAACUGAGACACGGUCCAGACUCCUACGGGAGGAAGCAGUAGGGAAUCUUCCGCAAUGGGCGAAAGCCUGACGGAGCAACGCCGCGUGAGUGAUGAAGGUCUUCGGAUCGUAAAACUCUGUUAUUAGGGAAGAACAUAUGUGUAAGUAACUGUGCACAUCUUGACGGUACCUAAUCAGAAAGCCACGGCUAACUACGUG